ACGGGGGGUGCUAGCGUUAUUCGGAAUCAUUGGGCGUAAAGGGCGCGUAGGCGGUCUUUUAAGUCAGAUGUGAAAGCCCUCGGCUUAACUGAGGAAGUGCAUUUGAUACUAAAAGACUUGAGUAUGGGAGAGGGAAGCGGAAUUCCUGGUGUAGCGGUGAAAUGCGUAGAUAUCAGGAGGAACACCGGUGGCGAAGGCGACUUUCUGGCCCUAUACUGACGCUGAGACGCGAGAGCGUGGGUAGCAAACAG
rnacentral:rRNA from 1 species